AGUACCCCCAUCGAGCCAUACCGUGCCAUCAUUUAGCUUGGAGGAUGAUGAGAUGGGAUUGCUGGCUGAAAGAGUGGCAAAGAUUCUAUCUGUUCAGCAGCAGCAGUUUCAAGAUCAGGUACUUCAGCAGCUCCAUCAGUUUCAGCUAUAUCAGGAGCAGAUUCUCUAGCAAGUACAGCAACAGCAGUAGUAUCGCCCGACUCUAUCGAGUGUCUUCUCUGAUCCUUCCGUAGACUCUUCUAUUAUGCCACAUAUUUUCUCUUUGAUGGAGCUCUUGUCUGAUUUGAGUACUAGAUUGGAGAGUGUAGAGAGAUCCUUACUCAAAUUCAGUGACAGAAUUUUUGAUAUAGAGAGGGAGAUCAGACGGAUAGUAGACUCUCUAUCAGCUGGAGUGAGCACAUCGACCUCUUCUACAUCGUAGCUGGAUGAUCUAGCCCAAGAGAUAGAGAGACUUCACAGUCAGUUUCACUCUUCUCUUGAGGUGAUUAGGACAGAUAUCAGGGACUCC
rnacentral:lncRNA from 1 species